GACGAACGCUGGCGGCGUGCUUAACACAUGCAAGUCGAACGGAAAGGCCCUGCUUUUGUGGGGUGCUCGAGUGGCGAACGGGUGAGUAACACGUGAGUAACCUGCCCUUGACUUUGGGAUAACUUCAGGAAACUGGGGCUAAUACCGGAUAGGAGCUCCUGCUGCAUGGUGGGGGUUGGAAAGUUUCGGCGGUUGGGGAUGGACUCGCGGCUUAUCAGCUUGUUGGUGGGGUAGUGGCUUACCAAGGCUUUGACGGGUAGCCGGCCUGAGAGGGUGACCGGCUACAUUGGGACUGAGAUACGGCCCAGACUCCUACGGGAGGCAGCAGUGGGGAAUAGUGCACAAUGGGCGGAAGCCUGAUGCAGCAACGCCGCGUGCGGGAUGACGGCCUUCGGGUUGUAAACCGCUUUCGCCUGUGACGAAGCGUGAGUGACGGUAAUGGGUAAAGAAGCACCGGCUAACUACGUG
rnacentral:rRNA from 1 species